AGGAGACUUAAUCCUGUAAGUGUAGAGGUUUAUUUGGCAAAAAUAUAGUAGUACAAAAAGAGUGCAUGAACAGGAAACCCAAUAUUUUUAAUUGCUGCACGUGCUGUAAAACAGCAUCACCGACAUUUCUUCCCUGCUCUACACCUUGUGCUACUGCCUCCUCACAUAUUCAGUUUCUGCUGCAAGAACUGUUGACUGCUGAGCAGGAUAGGAAGCUAAUAUUAUUAUUUUACCCAUCGUUCACUGUUCUGUGCUCUCGUCUUUAAUUUGAUACUUUGGACUCGUAAACUCUCGUGUACUUAUUAUUAUAUUUUUAAAUAUCGUUCGUGUCAAAGCACGCAGCCUUCUGGCUGUCUUUUCAUAUCUACUUGACAAAAGCGACGUGCAGCAUCACUGGAUUGUUGAGUAUCGCAGUGAAAAUUACGUCACGUGAGCGUUCAGAACACGUGCAAUACCAAUUAUGUCCACAUGAUGGCAGUACUGAGUUGUAUGGAAAAUAAAUUCAACAAGUUAUACGGAAGUUAUACCAUUAAUUAUUUGUUUGUAUGCAUUUUAAAUUCUAUUCUAUAUGGCCUUUAAUUAAUUUUGACUAGAUACACUUCARAGGAUCCCAGCACAGCCCAUGCUUUUUGGUGGAAGUAAAGUUUUAGGAUCUAAAUUACCCAAAAUAUUGGUAUUUGUUGCACUUGUGUAGCUAAUAAUAUUUUGCACUUAAAAGUACUUGUUCUAAAACAAUUAUAUGUGUAUAGUAAUAUUUUAGUACAAAGUCCUGUUUUUUUUUCUCACAGUGUGUACACAAUCUCACUACCGCCCCCUGUGUUACUAUCAGUACACUGCAGCAGUCAGAGCCGCGCAUGCGCAAUGUGAGUGCGGGCGCAGUUGUGCUGUGGUUUCGGUUGAGCAUUCUUGGUCGGGUCUUGCUCGGUGAACAGUAGGCUGCAGUCUGACAAUAUAGCGACGGYCGUUUUCUUCGUGUCUGUGGAGUUGUGUUAACGGAGUAGCAGAGACGCCGGAACAGCUUUAGAACUUAGAGGCUGUUAUCAUCGUGGGAGAGGAGGAGACGGAUGAGCUGAUAACUCAGAGAGAAAAAUGGCUGGAGGGAGAGGCUGAAAGAGAGGUU